rnacentral:pre_miRNA from 1 species
UAGAGUGCUCCGCCAUGAGAACUGAAUUCCAUAGAUGGUGACAUUUGUAUGCUUCAUCUAUGGGCUCAGUUCUUUUGGCUCGGUACUGUCCA